rnacentral:sRNA from 1 species
GAACCCAGGGCCUUGCACUUCCUAGGCAAGCGCUAUACCACUGAGCUAAAUCCCCAACGACAAGGUUGUCUUUUGUUCUAAAUAUUGGAUAAAUAAUAUGGAAAUCUAUGGUAGGGAGAAGAAUAUUAGCCAUCUAGGAGAAAGAAAAGGAAUCAUAUUCUGGGUGAGCAGGUCUGGAAAUGAAGGCAUCUUUUACCAGGAGUUUAAUAAUGGGAAAGUCAGGAAAUGAGGAGAGGUGCGGGGUAGUUACAUGGAUAGAGGUAGUGCAGAGGUGCGGGGUAUUAGAGGAUAGAGGUAGUGCAGAGGUGCGGGGUAGUUACAUGGAUAGAGGUAGUGCAGAGGUGCGGGGUAUUAGAGGAUAGAGGUAGUGCAGAGGUGCGGGGUAGUUACAUGGAUAGAGGUAGUGCAGAGGUGCGGGGUGUUAGAGGAUAGAGGUAGUGCAGAGGUGCGGGGUAUUAGAGGAUAGAGGUAGUGCAGAGGUGCGGGGUAGUUAGAGGAUAGAGGUAGUGCAGAGGUGCGGGGUAUUAGAGGAUAGAGGUAGUGCAGAGGUGCGGGGUAGUUACAUGGAUAGAGGUAGUGCAGAGGUGCGGGGUAUUAGAGGAUAGAGGUAGUGCAGAGGUGCGGGGUAUUAGAGGAUAGAGGUAGUGCAGAGGUGGGGGGUUGUUAGAGGAUAGAGGUAGUGCAGAGGUGCGGGGUAGUUACAUGGAUAGAGGUAGUGCAGAGGUGCGGGGUAGUUACAUGGAUAGAGGUAGUGCAGAGGUGCGGGGUAGUUAGAGGAUAGAGGUAGUGUAGAGGUGCGGGGUAUUAGAGGAUAGAGGUAGUGCAGAGGUGCGGGGUAGUUACAUGGAUAGAGGUAGUGCAGAGGUGCGGGGUAUUAGAGGAUAGAGGUAGUGCAGAGGUGCGGGGUAUUAGAGGAUAGAGGUAGUGCAGAGGUGCGGGGUAGUUGGAGGAUAGAGGUAGUGCAGAGGUGCGGGGUAGUUACAUGGAUAGAGGUAGUGCAGAGGUGCGGGGUAUUAGAGGAUAGAGGUAGUGCAGAGGUGCGGGGUAUUAGCGGAUAGAGGUAGUGCAGAGGUGCGGGGUAGUUACAUGGAUAGAGGUAGUGCAGAGGUGCGGUGUUAGAGGAUAGAGGUAGUGCAGAGGUGGGGGUAGUUACAUGGAUAGAGGUAGUGCAGAGAUGCGGGGUGUUAGAGGAUAGAGGUAGUGCAGAGGUGCGGGGUAUUAGAGGAUAGAGGUAGUGCAGAGGUGGGGGGUUGUUAGAGGAUAGAGGUAGUGCAGAGGUGCGGGGUAGUUACAUGGAUAGAGGUAGUGCAGAGGUGCGGGGUAUUAGAGGAUAGAGGUAGUGCAGAGGUGCGGGGUAUUAGAGGAUAGAGGUAGUGCAGAGGUGCGGGGUAGUUACAUGGAUAGAGGUAGUGCAGAGGUGCGGGGUAUUAGAGGAUAGAGGUAGUGCAGAGGUGCGGGGUAGUUGGAGGAUAGAGGUAAUGCAGAGGUGCGGGGUAGUUACAUGGAUAGAGGUAGUGUAGAGGUGCGGGGUAUUAGAGGAUAGAGGUAGUGCAGAGGUGCGGGGUAGUUACAUGGAUAGAGGUAGUGCAGAGGUGCGGGGUAUUAGAGGAUAGAGGUAGUGCAGAGGUGCGGGGUAGUUACAUGGAUAGAGGUAGUGCAGAGGUGCGGUGUUAGAGGAUAGAGGUAGUGCAGAGGUGCGGGGUAUUAGAGGAUAGAGGUAGUGCAGAGGUGCGGUGUUAGAGGAUAGAGGUAGUGCAGAGGUGCGGGGUGUUAGAGGAUAGAGGUAGUGCAGAGGUGCGGGGUAUUAGAGGAUAGAGGUAGUGCAGAGGUGGGGGGUAUUAGAGGAUAGAGGUAGUGCAGAGGUGGGGGGUAUUAGAGGAUAGAGGUAGUGCAGAGGUGCGGUGUUAGAGGAUAGAGGUAGUGCAGAGGUGCGGUGUUAGAGGAUAGAGGUAGUGCAGAGGUGGGGGGUAUUAGAGGAUAGAGGUAGUGCAGAGGUGGGGGGUUGUUAGAGGAUAGAGGUAGUGCAGAGGUGCGGGGUAGUUACAUGGAUAGAGGUAGUGCAGAGGUGCGGGGUAUUAGAGGAUAGAGGUAGUGCAGAGGUGCGGGGUAGUUGGAGGAUAGAGGUAGUGCAGAGGUGCGGGGUAGUUACAUGGAUAGAGGUAGUGCAGAGGUGCGGGGUAUUAGAGGAUAGAGGUAGUGCAGAGGUGCGGGGUAUUAGAGGAUAGAGGUAGUGCAGAGGUGCGGGGUAGUUAGAGGAUAGAGGUAGUGGCAGCUUGCAGAAGUUCUUGCCAAGUUGUUUUGUUUUGUUUAUGUAAAGAAAAGCCAUCAGUUCAGGGUAAACAUAGCAUGGGGUUAGAUAUUUGAGUCAAAAAGAGAUAGUAUGCCAGACCUUUAAUCCCAGUACUGAGGAGGAAGAGACAGGUGGGUCUAAGACCAGAGAAUAAAGCUGAGUAAAAAGGAAAAUGAAAAGGUAAGACACCAAGAACAGUGAACUUGAGUUGCAGAUGUCUCAGAUGAUCCUGGACAGGACGUCAUCAUUGAUGGCAAAGUGUGUGCUCUAAAUGUGACACAGAGGCUGUACUGUGCACUUAAACUGGUGUUGGCUAUGCUUAAAUGAACCCUACAGGUAGAUCACAGGAGACUUUUUCUUGGUUUGUUCUGUCUCACCACUUCACUCUGAUAGUCUCAGACUGAUGCAGUCUAUCAUUAAGGUUUGGAGGGGUUGUUUUGUUUGGUGGGGGCUUGGAGUUUUUUUGUUGGUGGUGGUGGUGGUGACUUUUUGGCUUCAUUUGAUGACAUACCAGAUAAUACUUUUCCUUGUAUAAACCACAUUGACUGUGAUAUCCCAGCAUACAUGGCUCAGCAGAUAAAGCUACUAUCACCAAGCCUGAUGAGCUGAGUUCAGUCCCCAGGACUCACAUAGUAAGAGAAAAGAGCUAACUCUUGGAACUUGCUCUCUGACCUCCAUUGGAUGAGCCAUGGCACAGCUGCUCACAUACAUAGACACAUAAUAAAUUCAUAAGGGAAAUGUAAUUUUAAAAGAUGUGCUUUAUUAUUUUUAGUCAUGUGUGUAUAUGUAGGCCUGAGUGGGAGUAUGUGCAUGUGAGUGCAGGUGUUCUCAGUGGCCAGAGGCGUUGGAUAUCCCAAGAGCUGGAGUUGCUUGUAGUUUGAGCCACCAGACCUGGAUGCUGGAAAUUGAACUCAGGAAUAACACAUGUUCUUAACCACAGCCCACCUCUCCAGCCCCAAUUUAAAAGUAAAAGGUUUAAAUGGAUGCUCUGUAGAAGAAAUACAGUAUACAAAGACAAGAAGCACAGCCAUGGUUUUUAUAAACUUAUCCACAUCAUUUUAUAACUACAUAUGGCAGACUUUUCUCCCAAUGCUAAGAAUUCAACAUAGGCCUGGCAUUUGCCAAGGCAAGUCCUUUAUCACAGAGUUAAGUCCCGGCCCACACAACAUAUUUUGGGCAGUAAUUUAAGUGUAUUUUUUCCCCUAUAUUUGGGUGAGGUACUUUUGUCUGUAAAAGCAUGGUAAUAAUAGACAAAUAUUUCUGGCCAGCUAGAACUGUAGAGUAUGUAGAAAGCAGUAGUUCCUUCAGUCAAGUGUUUCUUCCUUUCACUCCAUUUACUGUUAUUGUAUGUGUGUGUGCACAUGAUGGGAGGAAUUCUAACCACAAAGCAUGUAUAUGGAGAUCAGAGGACAGCUUUGUUAAGUCAGUUCUCUCCAUCCAUCUUUCCUUGAGCUCCAGGGAUCAAGCUCAGGCCUAAGGGAAGCGCCUUUACCAGCUAAGCUAUCAGCAGCCCUCAGUUAAUUCUUCCAUUAGGUUCUAAGGAUAUUACCCGUGCAUCCCCCUAUAUCCCUCCUGUCAUGCUGCUCACCGUUUCCUUACGAUGCCCUUUCUGUGCCUUGGAAAUGAUCAUAAAUGGUUACAUAACAGACUGCUCCACGUUGUGGUGGACUACAAUGACGAGCUUUACCUCACAGCUUCUGUGGAACAGGGUGUUCCUGGCUCCAAUCUCGUGAGGUUGCUGUCAAGAUGUCACUAGGACUACAGUCACCUGAAGGCUGACUGGGCUUUAGAGUCCCCUUGUUACCUGUACACAUUGGCUCUUCUUUGGGGCUACUUGAAUGUCCUCAUGAUAUGGCAGCUUUCCCCAGAACAAGUGAUUCAAGAUAUAUUCUUUUAUGUUCUAAUAGCAAGAGCCAUUCCCAAUCAUUUCCCCAUAGUCUAGCUGCUAGAAGCAACUCAUUAAGUACAGCCUCACACUAGGAAUGGAGAUUGAACUCUACCAAAGGAGGAAGGACCAUGAUAAUUGUGGACAUUUUAAAUCAUCACAACUGGCUUUGCCAUGUUUUCCUGACUGGGGUGCUGUCAAGAACAAGAUAACAGGUUGUAUUCAAGUAUGUCUAAUUAGUCAAUAACUUAGUACUUGCAAACUUAUUCUUAGUGCUAGGUAACUCUUACCCCUCUUGCCAGGAUGUAGGUAAUGGUUAUUUAGGAACUAAACUGAGACAUUGUGAACAUUUGAACUAACUUAUCAGCAAAGGUCAUGUAUAGGAACAUAAAAUAAGUCAUGAUGUCUGUAUCUUUGAAGAAUUUAUAUUAGAGAAUCCAGACCAAAAACUGACUAAUAUAAGAGAAGAUGCUGACAGUGGUAAAUAAGAUGCCUUGGUUCCGUGGAAGGAAAAUCUACCCAAGACGUGAGAGGUCAGGGAGCCAGGGAAGUUUUCCAGGAGCAGUGACUCCGCCACAGAACUCAGGCACACAGCUUCGGGGCUGUGCAGGGGGUGCCUCACUGCUCUCGUUGCC